GCACAAGCGGUGGAGCAUGUGGUUUAAUUCGAAGCAACGCGAAGAACCUUACCAGGUCUUGACAUCCCUGACAACCCGAGAGAUCGGGCGUUCCCCUUCGGGGGACAGGGUGACAGGUGGUGCAUGGUUGUCGUCAGCUCGUGUCGUGAGAUGUUGGGUUAAGUCCCGCAACGAGCGCAACCCUCGACCUUAGUUGCCAGCAUUCAGUUGGGCACUCUAAGGUGACUGCCGGCUAAAAGUCGGAGGAAGGUGGGGAUGACGUCAAAUCAUCAUGCCCCUUAUGACCUGGGCUACACACGUGCUACAAUGGGCGGUACAAAGGGUCGCGAACCCGCGAGGGGGAGCCAAUCCCAAAAAGCCGCUCUCAGUUCGGAUUGCAGGCUGCAACUCGCCUGCAUGAAGCCGGAAUCGCUAGUAAUCGCGGAUCAGCAUGCCGCGGUCGAAUACGUUCCCGGGCCUU
rnacentral:rRNA from 1 species